CGGCAUACUGCUCAGUAACACGUGGAUAACCUGCCCUAUCGUCUGGAAUAACCUCGGGAAACUGAGAAUAAGGCCGGAUAGUUCACAAUGCCUGGAACGGUUUGUGAAUCAAGGUAGGAUGGGUCUGCGGCGUAUCAGGUUGUAGGGGGUGUAAAGGACCCCCUAGCCUUCGACGCGUACGGGUGUUGGGAGACAUAGCCCGGAGAUGGAUUCUGAGACACGAAUCCAGACCCUACGGGGUGCAGCAGGCGCGAAAACUUCACACUGCAGGAAACUGUGAUGAGGGAACUCCUAGUGCAUGCACUAUGUGUACGUAGAUCCUACUCUUAACAAGUAGAGGGAAAGGGCUGGGAAAGACCGGUGCCAGCCGCCGCGGUAAUACCGGCAGCUCUAGUGGUCGUCGCUUUUAUUGGGCCUAAAACGUCCGUAGCCUGUUUGGUAAAUCUGUGGGUAAAUCAAUCCGCUCAACGGAUUGAAUUCUGCAGAGACUGCCAGACUAGGGACCGGGAGAGGUGUGGGGUACUCGAGGGGUAGGGGUAAAAUCCUAUCAUCCUUCGAGGACCACCAGUUGCGAAGGCGCCACACUGGAACGGAUCCGACGGUCAGGGACGAAGCCUAGGGGCACGAAACCGGAUUAGAUACCCGGGUAGUCCUAGGUGUAAACGCUGU
rnacentral:rRNA from 1 species